GCUCUUGUAGUUCAACGGAUAGAACAUGGGUUUCCGGAACCUAAAAUAGAGGUUCGAUUCCUCUCGAGAGCA
rnacentral:tRNA from 1 species